CCACGUCUGAGGAAGCAAAGAACCAGGACUCCAAGGCAGUCACAUCUGUGACCUCAGAGCCUACCAAAGCCCCCAUCUGGGGUGACACAGUCACAGUGGAGAUCCAAGCUGAGGAUGUGGUGCAAGAAGAUGUGAUCCUUAAGGUGGUGGACAACAACAAAAAAGAGGAGCUGCUGUUCUAUCAAAUCCCCAUCAAGUACUUGCGUGUCUUCCACCCCUACCACUUUGAGCUGGUGAAGCCCACCAAGACUGGGAAAGCUAAUGAAGACACUGCCAAGACCCACCUGUACGCAACUGUCGUCCGGAAGGGCAGCUUCAUCCCCCGCCAAGUUGACGGUAACCACAGAGCUCUGGAGG